rnacentral:misc_RNA from 1 species
AGUUCAACACCCUACAUAAGGAUAAUAUGAAGCCAAUACAUGAUGAAGUUCCACAUGGAAACAAACACAGACACAAACAUACACCAAAAUGCAUAUAUUUAAGAAACUCUUAAAUUGCUCAGGCAAAUACAUUACUGUGGAAAGUUUGUUUCGGUCUUCAAGUUCCCACCCUUCCCAGCUUAGAAGUUUUACCCCAACAGCUAAGUUCCACGAUCAACAGAACAAAAAUUCUAGGCUUAGCAUAUGGAAUAUCGUUUUCCUCAACCUCCUAUUUGUUCAAAUAAAGGU